rnacentral:pre_miRNA from 1 species
AACAGAUGAAGAGAGUUUCCUUCAGUCCACUCAUGGAAGGGUAAGGGGUUUGAAUUACCUGCUGACUCAUUCAUUCAAACACAAUAGAUAAUUAAUUAGGUAAUGCUAUUGUGAAUGUGUGAAUGAUGCAGGAGGUGAAAUUUCUUCCUUUUCUUUUCUUUGCUUGGACUGAAGGGAGCUCCCUUUUUCUCUUUU